rnacentral:rRNA from 1 species
GUGAGGAAUAUUGGUCAAUGGGCGGGAGCCUGAACCAGCCAAGUCGCGUGAAGGAAGAAGGAUCUAUGGUUCGUAAACUUCUUUUGCAGGGGAAUAAAGUGCAGGACGUGUCCUGUUUUGUAUGUACCCUGAGAAUAAGGAUCGGCUAACUCCGUGCCAGCAGCCGCGGUAAUACGGAGGAUCCGAGCGUUAUCCGGAUUUAUUGGGUUUAAAGGGUGCGUAGGUGGUUUGAUAAGUCAGCGGUGAAAGUUUGCAGCUUAACUGUAAAAAUGCCGUUGAAACUGUCGGACUUGAGUGUAAAUGAGGUAGGCGGAAUGCGUGGUGUAGCGGUGAAAUGCAUAGAUAUCACGCAGAACUCCGAUUGCGAAGGCAGCUUACUAAGCUACAACUGACACUGAAGCACGAAAGCGUGGGGAUCAAACAGGAUUAGAUACCCCGGUAGUCC